rnacentral:rRNA from 1 species
CAUGUGGUUUAAUUCGACGCAACGCGAAGAACCUUACCAGCUCUUGACAUUCACUGAUCGCCUGGAGAGAUCCGGGAAUUCCAGCAAUGGACAGUGGGACAGGUGCUGCAUGGCUGUCGUCAGCUCGUGUCGUGAGAUGUUGGGUUAAGUCCCGCAACGAGCGCAACCCUCGCCAUUAGUUGCCAUCAUUAAGUUGGGCACUCUAGUGGGACUGCCGGUGAUAAGCCGGAGGAAGGUGGGGAUGACGUCAAGUCAUUAUGGCCCUUACGGGCUGGGCUACACACGUGCUACAAUGGCGGUGACAAUGCGCAGCCACCUAGCAAUAGGGCGCUAAUCGCAAAAAGCCGUCUCAGUUCAGAUUGGGGUCUGCAACUCGACCUCAUGAAGUCGGAAUCGCUAGUAAUCGCGCGUCAGCAUGGCGCGGUGAAUACGUUCCCGGGC